UGUUAUUUACAUAAUUAUCAAAGUUGAUGCAAGCCUUGCAAAAACAUUCAUAUCUCAUGUGGUUUUCACAUUGCAACCAAAAACUAGAUAUUUUAUCAGAUGAACAAAGUGUUGCAAAAUUGGGAAUUAGAAGGUAAAGGAUAAUAUGGUUUUCAAAAUCUCUUAGAAAUUAUCUUAAAAUGUGUAUAAUGUGCAUUUGUGCUCAGUUACCUCCGUCUAAUCUGACAACUCCCUGUCCUUGCUGAAGAAAAGUAUCCCCACAGCAUGACACUGCCACUACCUUGUUUCACCACAGAUAUAGAAUGUUCAGGGUCACAUGCAUUGUUAGUUUUAAUGUGAAUGAGAGUUAUUCAUAUUGCAACCGCAUUUCACAUACAUUCAUGCACAUAUACACAGAUCGAUAGGUAUCUAAAAAUUGGAACAGAUCAAUUUUAAACAGGAGUUUAUAGGUGGCAAAAUUCCCCAGAAAUUCUAAAACACUGGAUCAAGAACAGUAAAGCUUUUGAAGCAAAUUAUGAAGAAGAGCAGGGUGCCUCAAGACUUUUGUAAGGUGGGCUAAAUCUGAGUCAAUGUGAUGCAGAUCAAGUGGCUAAAUUUCUCCUUCAUGCUACCAUUUGAGUCAGAAAUGCACUCUAGAGAAAUCCUGAUAAUUUCUUGCCUUUUUAAACGAUACUCUUGCAUAACAACUCACAGCCACAUUUCCUACAAUAUAUCAUUUGUCCAAAGGAGGAAAGAAGCUGGACUUGCAGAAGCCUUUCUGACCUCAAUCAAUGCCUGAACCCGUUCAGUUGUCUUUUUUUUCCCCCGUCUCUGCUGUUCUGCUCUCAGAGCUUUUAACGUGCAGAUUAUAUUGCCUUGGCUUCUGCUCUAGUUCUCUUUUUCUCACAUUAGGAUGCCAAGGCCGAGAUUGAGGGAAACCCAAUUUAAGGGCAGAAAUGGGGGAUUAAAACGGUUGUUUAAUCUAGGGCAGACUUACACCGUGCCAUGCCAUGCAGUGUUCGGUACACAUUACAAGCCGUACACACAGCCCUCUCUAUCCCUCCAUCGGUUUGUCUUCGAUGGUCCUUUAAAUGUUUAAAACUAAUGGAUUCAAUAAGUGUUUUUUUUUCCUCUUUUCCUUCCUAACAGGGGGGCUUUAAUCCCUUCUGGAUUUAAAUGAAAUAUGAAAUGUCACAAUGCCAAAGACCCUUUUAGAGGUGUGUUUCUGUGUGCAUGUGUGUUGAUUUUUGCGUGUACACACGCUAAAUCUGCACUCAAGCUGUUUUAGCUGCCAGAGAGGCACGUAAACAAAUUUGAUAAACAGAUUGGUACAAUGAAAAGCAGUAUGUUUUGAUCAUUAGAGAGGUGCACUCAUUGCUAACUCCAGGGACAUGCAUCAACAGUGUGAUAGGCUGCUCUUCACUUUUACUAAAGCCAACACACACACACACAGAGAGAGAGAGAGAGGAUUGAAAACAAGAGAGAUGUGCUGAAUUUCGAGUCUGUUUUCAAAGUCUAGUUCUUGUAUAGCUUUGACCUUCUGGUGCAGCUUUGACCCGACUCUGAUCUCUGUAUAAGAACUGCAAUAUAAGAAGUACAACAUUUGCUUUCCUGCCAUGAGUCACUAAUUGUUUGUUGGGACCAGAGACGACGUCACGUCACAGCGUGAAAGCAGUUGCUGUACAGCAGGGGUUUUGCUAUUAUUUUAAAAUUAAGACAAACAAUUGCCGGCUUCACAUUUUAAAACAUACACAUAUAAAAGUAGACACCGCAGAAUAUUAUGAGUGGCAGUACAAGUAUGGUUGAAAUCUGUUUUUUUCUAAUAGAAAUAAAAUUAACAAUCAACUAGUUUUGAUGACUUACUUUAGUACACAUUAAUGUAGUCCGCUGUCCUCCAUGUUGUCCUUCAUGAUGCGUCCCUGCUUGAGCGCAUUGAUUCAUAUGGUAGCGUUACAUCCUUGGCAUGCCAACUGCUGCAGAAGCCAGUUAGCCACUCGUUCAUUUACGUCAGGGCAAUUUCAAGUGGUAUUUAACAAGACUUACAUAUUUUUUGACUGGGAGGAGGCAGGGGAACUAACAAAGGGAAUUACAAAAAGAUUCCUGGACGGGAUGAGAACCCACAACCAUUUUGCUGCAAGGCAGCAGCUACACCACAGUACAGUCCAACUGCAUUUAGUUAAUCUAUUUUUGUUUAAAACAGUAAAACGGUGUGGAAACUCUAUAAACAUCAUUGCAUAACUUCUGAUGUGAUCUACAAAUCCAUCUCCUCAGUUUACUUGUGUUCUUGGUCAGCGCUGCUGCAUUUUUUUCUCCAGCUGUUCGAGAUUCAACUGGAAAGCGACGGACAGCGAGUACCAGAGUGGUUUUCUCAAGAUAUAAUCUGGCGAUUCUGCUUGCAGUUGCCCACCCUAAAUCAGCAAGCUGCCGAGGAUUGUGGGAACCCGUGGAAUCGCCGUGACCAGGGAUGCAGGCAGGGAGCCACAGCAAUGCUGGAAUGUGGGGCGUCUGAAGAGAUAAGAGCUGCGAGCCCGAGCCAAGGAGUGAACAGGGAUGCAGCAGGCAGGGUGGAGGGAGGUGGUGGUGGUGGUGGGGAGGGUUGGCAUGGCAGAGUGAGGAGGGUGAGACGGAAACAGGGGCGGCUGCAUGUCUGUGAAUGGGGAGGCAGAAACACAACACCGUAAACAACCAGAGUGCAAGACGGAGUGAAACGAAGAAACAGGGGAAUGAGGGGGGGGGGGGGCGGAGGGCACACUGGAGAUGGGAAGCCAGCCUUAUUCCUCUUUGCAUUUCAUUUACAUCCUUGGCCGUAUCGACCAAUCGGAUUGGGAGCAAAGCCCAGGGCUUAGGAGGGGAAUAAAAAGACAAAAUGCCUUUGCUGCUCUCAUCCCUCCCUGAUAAUACCCCUUCUGUUUUUCUUUUCUCCUUUUCUCUCGUCUAUAAGUAGAUACUGUCCGAAAUGCCAGCAGAAAAGCGACACCUCCGCUUGCUGUGUAUCUCAGAUAGACCGAGCGGGAGCAGGGGCUGAAAAGACAGCUUUAGCGACUGGGCCUAUCUCCACUCCUCUCCCUGGCUGGGCUGGAUGGAAGCUCGGAGUGGAGAGAGGCGGAGGGCCGGGUGUGUUGGUUAGUGUUUGGGAAAAGAAUAGAGGGUGUGAGAGGCAUGAUAUACUAAGCUGGCAACAGAUUUCACAGAAUCUUACACUCUGAAAAACUUUGCCUCAAGAUCCCUUUUCUAAGCAUGAGAAACCUGUUUCAAGGAUGUUUACCAGGUUCCACCCAUCUUUGUGAAGGUUGCAAAUUACUUCUGCUGAACUUUACAUAUUUUUAGCUAAAGGUUGCUCGCUGGUAUUCUACUCUUUCUCACAAAAUAGCAGGAUUUUCCCAAACCUCAGUGUCAUAUUGGUUCUUUGGUUGAAUGGAAUGUUUUCUUUCUCAACUUAUCAACGUGUAUUGGCUAGAAAUAGGCUCAUUAACACCAGCCUGUGUUGUCUUGAUUGACUUGUCUCAAGUUUCAGUUUGCUGUCGCUCUCCAGUUACAUGUUCUUGUUUGUGUUGUGGAUGGUCUUUGUGUACCAGGCCCGGUAUGUGUUCAGGUUUAUUUGAACAGGUGUUUGCACAUCUCUCCAUUGUGUAUCUGCUUGUGUUUGGGUUACUUUGGGCCUGUCAAGUGUUCUUUCUGUAUUUAAGUGGCUAUGCUAAUGUUCAACAGCUCACAUCUUUGCAUAGCUCCUGGUAGAGGUAGUUAAAGGGAAUCAAGGACCCACGGUCUACAUGCUUUGCAUUCUCUUUCCUAAAGUACCUCUUGCUCCAUAAGAUUGGAUGGAGAGCCUCUGAUUAUAGCAUUUUUUUUUGGUUUUGGUUUUGCCACAAAUUCCCAAUUGAAUUUAGAUCCGGAACAUUCUGAACACAUACUGGGCUUUACAGCAUUGGCUGUGAUUGAAUCUUUGGUUCAGACUCUUUUGUAGCUUUUAGCAUGUCUUCUCCCAGAAUUAUCCUGCCUUUUGCUCCAUCUAUCCCCACUGGUUCUUCACUCUACUCCCAUCUGGAUACCGAUACAGAACUUUAGCCUGGAAAAAAAAUCAUCUUAAGAAAAGUUUGGUCCCCUUAACUAUCAUCCCACUAAAAAAGCUCUGACUUGUCUGCUGUAUCCUUUCAUUCUUCUUUACAACUGUGUCCUGCUGUAUGUUGUUUUAUUACAUAAAAUUGCAUAGAAUAUGCUAAAUAGGGAAAUUAACAGCACUAUUGGUGUAUCUUUCUGUGGAGGAGUUGUCAUAUCCAAAUUCUGCUCUGUGGAAAACCUUUCAGACAUGGGCGCAGUCUGUCGCUUCCCUGCACCAGACGCUUGUAAGUGAUAAGGUCACCUUAGGACCCUCUCUACCUUCACAGCCUCCUCAUCGUCCUCAGCCCACACAACCUCUCCCCUACAGUAAAUCAAACCAAACAACAGAGGCUGAUGUCUGAAGGAUUAGAGGUCAGGGGUUUGGGGAAUGCCACAUCCAGUUUUUUUUUUUCCAGGAUCAAUCUUUAAGCGCUUGCUAAUCUCUGUCCGCCGGCCUCGCAUACCUCCAGUGGUCUUCCUCACUGGGAGAUGGCAUUGCCAAGUGGGUUCUCCUGCUGGGUAAGAGGAGCUGAUUUGAGGGAGAGGUGUGAGGCGCUAAGAGAGGAGUACAAUGUAUCCUUUAUCCUCAACCAGAUGUGUGCAAAUGCAUGUCAACCACAACAUUUUAGUCUGGAGUUCCUCCCCGCAUGUGUACUCUGUUGUGUACUUUCAGCGCGCGUGCAUAAAGUUUGUUUAAUCUGCCAAUUUUUGAAAUGUGGAAUAACUUUGACUUCUUCAUGGCAAACCGAAUAUUAUCCGCAAGUUCCCGCUGUUAUCUUGUGUACACACAUUUGUUUAUUUGAUACAGCCCCUCUCCGCUACAGCACUUUUGUAUAUCAAAGACAGCGGUGCGGAGCGUAAUUGAAAAUGGCUACCGUGGAGAAAGGUCUCUCUCUGCUUUGACUGAGGAGAGGUGGAAAAAAACUCAUCCUCCGCUCCCUUCUUAGAUCUAUUUAAAUAAUUGAGGAGUAAACUGACAAAUUAGACACCUUUAUGGAAACCCUUGGGGUCUCUCUGGGGUCUUCCACUUUUCCCAGUACAAGAGAGCGCCACUAGGCACGGGAUAAUAUCUUGUGUGCUUCGAGAAGGGAGGGGUGAUGUACUCCACUGGGCCAGGAGGGGUUUCGCCAAUCAAGCGGGCCACACUUCCUCCCCCAGGUUCUAAUUUUGUGCCACAUUAAAGAGCUCGGCCUCCAUUUAGGACACAGAGAGACAUUUUCAUAAUUUGCCGGGUGUCUCGGCUAGCUCGAGGUGCCUCUUCCCUCCUUUUCUCACUCUGUAUCUGAAUGGAGGGCCUGAGGAGCAAGAAGGGGAAAUUCAUUCGUCUCCUUUCAACCAACCAGCAUCAGUUCUGCAUAAUGUUGCUGCUAGGUGUGUGCACAAGCAAAUAUUUAUCUCUUUAUUAGCUCCCCAUUAGACCUGAAAAUGAUAUGCUAUGUGAAACCAACACUGCCUAUUGUCAUCUGCGGAGCUACUAGAAGUCAAGUGUUGUUGAACCAUCAGGGUUAAUUCGAUGAUCAAUAAUUAGCAGUUAGUUGUGUUUUUGCAGAGGGAGAACAUAUUUAACACAGCAACUUUAGCAACUAAAUUGACCCAUAUAAAUGAAUGAAUCCAAACAACUGAAUCAAUUUAUGUAAAAUGUAACACAAUAGUGUGGGAAUAUUUGAACAUACCUACUGAAAUUUAUUACACACUUUUUAAUGAAAACUACAAUAUUUCUUCCAUGUGGAGAAGCUAGUAGCAUGAUGCUAAGUUUAAGUAGAUCAUGUUCCCUUAAAUAUAACAUAGAAAUAUGUUUUUAUUUAGGUACAAUGCAAAUUGGACAUGACAAAAAAAAAAUCAAUUCUCAGUUAUAGUAUUUUACCUGUGAACUUGACAACUUACAUUUGUGUAAACUUCAUUCUGGUCCAUCAUCACCAUAUUUCAAAUACUGCUUAUAACUAAAAUUAUAGCUUGUAUGACCUUCACGUUCUGAAGGUCAUACAUAGUAGUGAGGUGCUUCUCAUAUGUGUGGAUUAUGCAUUAAGAGCCACCUUGGCUGAAUUAGAGUGAAAGCAGUUUGAGAUGAUUUGGCAUCUACAAGGCAUUAAACAACGUUUACCCUGCUUUUCCUUCACUGGUGGAGACUUACGCAGUGAGUAUGAGUGGAGAUAACUGUGACUCAGCGCAUUAUUUUGAAAUAGGUGUGCUUUCCACUUUGGGUCCAUAGUUGCAACAUCGGAAAGAUUAAGAAAAAUAUCGGUAACCAAACCAUCCAGGUGUUUUGCAGCAGGACGAUAUUCGGAGAGCUUUUCUGCUUCCCUAAAUCCUGAUCCAAUACUGCAAUAGUUAAAUAAUGAGAAACUAGCUUAUAUUAACAGGAGGCAGUUUUUUCUGAAUAGUGUCAGAUUUCUUGGCUUUCUAUGCAUUUUUCCUCCUAAUUUUCUUCUUCCUUUCAAUACUUAUUCCUCGUGUCAUUCUACUUUAUAACGCACAACUUUAUUAAUGUAUUUGCAGGGGUUGAUUACUUUGGUUUAAAAUUCCACUCCAAUUGCCCCAGUAGAAAUGUAUUUACUUAUAUCUUUCUUUUUUACAUGGUUGAUAGUUAUGUUCAAUGCUGUAACAUUGUUCCACCGGAUUAAGCUAAGUUUUUUAGGUUGUGUGGAAUACCUAUGUCUGGGUAGAGUUGUUGCAUGACACUGCCCAUUCAUGCUCUGCUUGCUUCUGCGUCAAUUCAUUCGUGAUGAUUGGUCACAUAAUUCAGUCUCAGGGGGCAUUCCUUCGCUGACAGACAAGCUAAUCUAAAAUCCCCCCAAUUUACAAAUGAAAAUCCCACCAUCCAAUUGAGCUAAUAGAGGGACUUGAAUGGGAUAAUAAGAUGUGGUGUAAUACUGUGUAAAAAGCCUGUAAUGUUGUGUUGGUGUAAGAGCCUGUGUGACUGGAUGUCUGACUGUUUGCGGCGAUUAUGGAGGCCUGCGGGCCUGGCGGCGACUCCGUGGCUGGGACAGGGAGCUUCCUCCCUGGGCAUGGAGAUAUGCCCGUCUGCCCCUUCUGCGGCUGGAGCUGCAGGGGAGCAGGAUGUCAGGAGGGAGAGCGCUCCCUGCGAGCUCCUGUCGCCGCCGCCGUGGUUGGGUCUUCGCCGCUGUAGCGCUUGCAGAUGUGCACAAACAAGGGAGGAUUAAAGCAAAACAAAUCUAAACAGACAAAUGGAAUUAGAGUGAUGGGUGUCGGUGGGCUGGUUCACAGUGAUAAACAUAAUGAUGCUCUGUGUAUGUGUGUGUGAGUGUGUGUGUCUGGGGGAUUAUCAGUGAUUAGGUGUGUGGUGUGUAUGGCUGGGUGACUGCUUCUGGGUGUCUUUGUGUGUUUGCCUAUCUGUCUAUGUUUUUGUAAUUAUGUGUGUAUAUAUUUACCCUAUUUCCAGUUUAUGUGUGCGAUAAAUGAGUUAUUUCAUAUGGCUUUGCAUGUGUGUGGUUAUGUAUUUUCGUUUUGGUUUCAGGGUCACGGCCCUCUCCUGGCUUUCUCCACGGUUUUGUGUCUCCUAUUCAGACACACGUUUUGAACUGAAACUCUUCAUCUAAUAUUGCUUUAGCAAUUAGGAAGAAACUCAUCUUGAAGAGUACUGCUGCAUUUAUCUGCAGAUGUUUUGUUUUCUCGCACCAGGGACCCUACGAAGAGGUCAGGCGUGUGGAGGAAGCAGCAGGGGGGCCGGUGAUCAACAGCCUGGGCUUCCCUGCUAGGAGUCUGGGAUUAGGACUAAACCCAGCCCUGCCAGAUGGGCACAACACAUCCCCAACAUCAGCAACUUUAGGACACCUCGCAGUCUCCCUCUUCUUUGAAACACAUGGAAAGGAUCUGCUGGCCAGCCGUGUCUUCGCCAUGAGCAGAACCUCUGUAAUGAUGGCGUUCCACGCGAACGGCCCGUCUCCUCAGCUGUAUUAGGACCUGGAAUUUCCAUGAGGAUGUUUGAUCCUUAUAAUCCAAGCAAUCGGCAUUGAAGUUCAGCUUCCAUGACGCCGCUUGGUCCU